AGAACCGAUCACAUUGAACAUAGCUUCACCUUUAAAUGCAAUGUGAGUGUGGAAGAUAAUUUGAAUUGAAAAGUAAGAUUGUAUUUAUUGCUGAAGAAAAUUAUAAAACUUUUAAAUUAAAACAAAACAGCUUGUAAAAGUAAAAAUUGCUUGGAAUUGAAAUUGAAACUAAGAAUAAAUGUAAAAGACAGAUUGAUUGUUAGAGU
rnacentral:misc_RNA from 1 species